rnacentral:rRNA from 1 species
AUGGGGGGUAUGGGCUUCAGAGACAUGAGGUCGUUUAAUCAAGCCCUGUUAGCCAAACAAGCUUGGAGGCUGCUCGCCUCUCCUGAUAGCUUGUGCUCAAGACUUUUAAAGGCAAAGUAUUACAAACAUGGUCAAUUGUUGGACACUGUUUUCCCGAGCAACGGCUCGGACGUUUGGAAGGACAUUUUACACGGACAAAGAAAGGGGUUAUUUGGCGCGUGGGGAAUGGUACAGCAAUAUGUACAUGGAGGGAUCCUUGGAUCCCGAGACCAGACUCCUUCCAGCCAAUCACUCCUAAACUGUCGAUUAAAUUGGGUAUCGGACUUCCUAGAUGAUAAUUGUGCAUGGAGAUCAGACCGGUUGUAUGAGUUCUUCUGGCCAAUGGAUGUGUGUCACAUUCUGAAAAUCAGAACCUCCCCAUGCCAGCGAUGUGAUUUUCUUUCGUGGUUUCCGGAAAAGAGCGGAUUAUUUACCGUGAAAAGUGCUUAUAGGCUCGCCACACAGGAACACAAUGCUGCCUUUGGUAAUGGUUCAUCCAGUACUAGUCCAGAUGGUGAACGUUCCUUGUGGAAUCUUGUUUGA